UAAUUUAUUUAUCAAUAUCUAUUGUAUUAACUCAGCAUUCUGAAACUAAUUGGUAAAUUGCUGAGAAUUGAGGUAUAUAUGUUAUUAAUCCAGCACUUUAUAACUGUUGUGCAGCUACUGAGUAAUUGAGGUAUGAUAAAUUGCUUUGCUUCUGUUUUUGAGUGAUCAACACAUGACUAUUUGAUAUAGAGCAAUUGUGUCACUUUUGGGCAAUUGUGUCUAAAUACCAGGGUCGCAUACCCCUGCAUUUAGUAUACAUGUGUGUGAUCUAAUAUUAACUAACCAUUUUCUUACACAGGUGGCGAUAUCACACGGCCGGUGGAUGAUAUGUUUAUGUCCACCGCUAACAGCCCUACAGAUAUCUUUCGUUGACAACAGGGACCCAUACUGCUGUACAGGUUGCCGGCGGUCAGGAAACCAGCGCCAGAAUCCUGAAACCUGUCAGAAUGCCGCCGCCGGAAUCCGGACAACAGGAAUCUCAAAUAUGGAAUCCACCAUGUACAUUUUGUUAGAGGUGGAAACUCUUCAGGUUUGGCAGGAAAGAGGCGCAAGGAGAUA